rnacentral:rRNA from 1 species
UACAGAGGGUGCGAGCGUUUAUCGGAAUUAUUGGGCGUAAAGAGCGUGUAGGCGGCCAGGUAGGUCCGUUGUGAAAACUCGAGGCUCAACCUCGAGACGUCGAUGGAAACCAUCUGGCUAGAGUCCGGAAGAGGAGAGUGGAAUUCCUGGUGUAGCGGUGAAAUGCGCAGAUAUCAGGAAGAACACCCGUGGCGAAGGCGGCUCUCUGGGACGGUACUGACGCUGAGACGCGAAAGCGUGGGGAGCGAACAGG